rnacentral:rRNA from 1 species
UAAGGAAUAUUGGUCAAUGGACGCAAGUCUGAACCAGCCAUGCCGCGUGAAGGACGAAGGUCCUCUGGAUUGUAAACUUCUUUUAUCUGGGACGAAAACGGGAUUUUUAUCUCAAUUGACGGUACCAGAGGAAUAAGCACCGGCUAACUCCGUGCCAGCAGCCGCGGUAAUACGGAGGGUGCGAGCGUUAUCCGGAUUUACUGGGUUUACAGGGUGCGUAGGUGGGCUUAUAAGUCAGUGGUGAAAUCUCCGAGCUUAACUUGGAAACUGCCGUUGAUACUAUAGGUCUUGAAUUAUCUGGAGNUAAGCGGAAUAGGUCAUGUAGCGGUGAAAUGCUUAGAUAUGACAUAGAACACCAAUUGCGAAGGCAGCUUACUACAUAUAAAUUGACGCUGAGGCACGAAAGCGUGGGGAUCAAACA